UUCGGAAUGAAGUUUUUGUGACUGAGUGGCGGACGGGUGAGUAACGCGUGGGUAACCUGCCUCAUACAGGGGGAUAACAGUUGGAAACGACUGCUAAUACCGCAUAAGCGCACAGGAUUGCAUGAUCCAGUGUGAAAAACUCCGGUGGUAUGAGAUGGACCCGCGUCUGAUUAGCCAGUUGGCGGGGUAACGGCCCACCAAAGCGACGAUCAGUAGCCGACCUGAGAGGGUGACCGGCCACAUUGGGACUGAGACACGGCCCAAACUCCUACGGGAGGCAGCAGUGGGGAAUAUUGCACAAUGGGGGAAACCCUGAUGCAGCGACGCCGCGUGAGCGAAGAAGUAUUUCGGUAUGUAAAGCUCUAUCAGCAGGGAAGAAGAAUGACGGUACCUGACUAAGAAGCACCGGCUAAAUACGUGCCAGCAGCCGCGGUAAUACGUAUGGUGCAAGCGUUAUCCGGAUUUACUGGGUGUAAAGGGAGCGCAGGCGGUACGGCAAGUCUGAUGUGAAAUCCCGGGGCUCAACCCCGGUACUGCAUUGGAAACUGUCGGACUAGAGUGUCGGAGGGGUAAGUGGAAUUCCUAGUGUAGCGGUGAAAUGCGUAGAUAUUAGGAGGAACACCAGUGGCGAAGGCGGCUUACUGGACGAU
rnacentral:rRNA from 1 species